rnacentral:sRNA from 1 species
AAAAAGUGAAGAAAUCAAGGAAACAAGCUAGGUGGUGAGACGUCCGGAAAAGGCAAAGGAAUUACGCCUGAGGACUAUUAGUCAGAGUUCACCCGGAAUCCGGAUUUUCGACACCUAUCAGGUGACUGUUGGACCCUAGAUCGAGGAGU